GGCGUCGAGCGGCGGACGGGUGAGUAAUGCAUAGGAAUCUGCCCGAUAGUGGGGGAUAACCUGGGGAAACUCAGGCUAAUACCGCAUACGUCCUACGGGAGAAAGCAGGGGAUCUUCGGACCUUGCGCUAUCGGAUGAGCCUAUGUCGGAUCAGCUUGUUGGUGAGGUAAUGGCUCACCAAGGCGACGAUCCGUAGCUGGUCUGAGAGGAUGAUCAGCCACAUCGGGACUGAGACACGGCCCGAACUCCUACGGGAGGCAGCAGUGGGGAAUAUUGGACAAUGGGCGAAAGCCUGAUCCAGCCAUGCCGCGUGUGUGAAGAAGGCUUUCGGGUUGUAAAGCACUUUCAGUGAGGAAGAAAGCCUUGGGGCUAAUACCCCCAAGGGACGACAUCACUCACAGAAGAAGCACCGGCUAACUCCGUGCCAGCAGCCGCGGUAAUACGGAGGGUGCGAGCGUUAAUCGGAAUUACUGGGCGUAAAGCGCGCGUAGGCGGCUUGAUAAGCCGGUUGUGAAAGCCCCGGGCUCAACCUGGGAACGGCAUCCGGAACUGUCAGGCUAGAGUGCAGGAGAGGAAGGUAGAAUUCCCGGUGUAGCGGUGAAAUGCGUAGAGAUCGGGAGGAAUACCAGUGGCGAAGGCGGCCUUCUGGACUGACACUGACGCUGAGGUGCGAAAGCGUGGGUAGCAAACAGGAUUAGAUACCCUGGUAG
rnacentral:rRNA from 1 species